UAUUAAAACGACGUCCAAAACAGAACUCACAAGAAAAAAUAUCCAUGAUUUUUAUGCUUUUAAAUUCUGUGCUCAUCUUCCCCACCACUCCCUUGUUUACUCAUUAAAGAGUAGUAUCAACAAUUUUGAAUGGUUUAAUGAGAAGAAGGCGACGAGCAAAGCAGGAGCGUGAUGGAAAUGGAAGAGACGCCCAGAAAAAUGAGCUGGUGUUGAGGAGCUCAGGCACUCUCAAUUCUGCUUCUGUUUUCUCAAAGAGAGGCCACAGGGCCACCAACCAAGACCGCUGCAUUGUUUGGGAGGUUCCAAAUUCAAUUGGAUUUGUGUUGGGAGCUCUGCAGCUGCUGCUUUAUGCCAUUUACAGAAAACCUACAAAUUCAGAUAAAUUUCCACCCACGGUCUUCCAACUGUUGACUUCGACUUCAUAUCUCUAAGUUCUUAUAAUUUUUAGUACUAUUGUAUGAUUAAAUUAAAGAGUCCCUUUUUAAUUUUUGUACUAUAUUUUGAUAUCUAUCCAUAAAUGUUUUUGUGAUUGUAAGACCGAGCAUAUACCAACAAAGAUAUAUUCUUAUUUGAUUGAAGAAAUUUUAUUUUA